GUGGGGGAUAUUGCACAAUGGGCGAAAGCCUGAUGCAGCAACGCCGCGUGAGGGAAGACGGUUUUCGGAUUGUAAACCUCUGUCUUUGGUGAAGAAGGAAGUGACGGUAGCCAAGGAGGAAGCCACGGCUAACUACGUGCCAGCAGCCGCGGUAAUACGUAGGUGGCAAGCGUUGUCCGGAAUUACUGGGUGUAAAGGGAGCGCAGGCGGGACAGCAAGUUGGAUGUGAAAUACCGCAGCUCAACUGCGGAGCUGCAUCCAAAACUGUUGUUCUUGAGUGGAGUAGAGGUAGGCGGAAUUCCGAGUGUAGCGGUGAAAUGCGUAGAUAUUCGGAGGAACACCAGUGGCGAAGGCGGCCUACUGGGCUCUUACUGACGCUGAGGCUCGAAAGUGUGGGGAGCAAACAGG
rnacentral:rRNA from 1 species